UACAGAGGGGGCAAGCGUUGUUCGGAAUUACUGGGCGUAAAGGGCGCGUAGGCGGCCCGCUAAGUCGAACGUGAAAUCCCCGGGCUCAACCCGGGAACUGCGUCCGAUACUGGUGGGCUUGAAUCCGGGAGAGGGAUGCGGAAUUCCAGGUGUAGCGGUGAAAUGCGCAGAUAUCAGGAGGAACACCGGUGGCGAAGGCGGGUCUCUGGGCCGAUACUGACGCUGAGGCACGAAGGCCAGGGGAGCAAACGGG
rnacentral:rRNA from 1 species